rnacentral:rRNA from 1 species
CCUACGGGAGGCAGCAGUGAGGAAUAUUGGUCAAUGGGCGGAAGCCUGAACCAGCCAAGUCGCGUGAGGGAUUAAGGCCCUAUGGGUCGUAAACCUCUUUUGUCAGGGAGCAAUGGCGUCCACGUGUGGGCGUAUGGAGAGUACCUGAAGAAAAAGCAUCGGCUAACUCCGUGCCAGCAGCCGCGGUAAUACGGAGGAUGCGAGCGUUAUCCGGAUUUAUUGGGUGUAAAGGGCGUGCAGCCGGGAAGACAAGUCAGAUGUGAAAUCCCGCGGCUCAACCGCGGAACUGCAUUUGAAACUGUUUUUCUUGAGUAUCGGAGAGGUAAUCGGAAUUCCUAGUGUAGCGGUGAAAUGCGUAGAUAUUAGGAAGAACACCAGUGGCGAAGGCGGAUUACUGGACGACAACUGACGGUGAGGCGCGAAAGCGUGGGGAGCAAACAGGAUUAGAUACCCCGGUAGUC